rnacentral:rRNA from 1 species
AGCGUAUAAUAAAGUUGUUGCAGUUAAAAAGCUCGUAGUUGGAUUUCUGGGAGGGUGCCAAUGUCCGUAAUAACGUGUGCAGCGGCGCCCUCUCAUCCUUCUGUUAGCGCCAUUCGGCACUCGUUUGCCGGUGGCGGGCUCAGAUAUUUUACCUUGAGAAAAUUAGAGUGUUUCAGGCAGGCUAGGCCGGAAUACAUUAGCAUGGAAUAAUGGAAUAGGACUACGGUCUCUUUGUUGGUUUGAGGGACUGGAGUAAUGAUUAAUAGGGAUAGUUGGGGGCAUUAGUAUUUAAUUGUCAGCGGUGAAAUGCUUAGAUUUGUUAAAGACUAACUUAUGCGAAAGCAUUUGCCAAGGAUGUUUUCAUUAAUCAAGAACGAAAGUUAGGGGAUCAAAGACGAUCAGAUACCGUCCUAGUCUUGACCAUAAACUAUGCCGACUCGGGAUCGGGGGCGCGUUCUAUCCGCCUUCGGCACCGUAUGAGAAAUCAAAGUCUUUGGGUUCUGGGGGAGUAUGGUCGCAAGGCUGAAACUUAAAGGAAUUGACGGAAG